rnacentral:rRNA from 1 species
UUAAAUUGAAGAGUUUGAUCAUGGCUCAGAUUGAACGCUGGCGGCAGGCCUAACACAUGCAAGUCGAACGGUAACAGGAAGCAGCUUGCUGCUUCGCUGACGAGUGGCGGACGGGUGAGUAAUGUCUGGGAAGCUGCCUGAUGGAGGGGGAUAACUACUGGAAACGGUAGCUAAUACCGCAUAAUGUCGCAAGACCAAAGAGGGGGACCUUCGGGCCUCUUGCCAUCGGAUGUGCCCAGAUGGGAUUAGCUUGUUGGUGGGGUAACGGCUCACCAAGGCGACGAUCCCUAGCUGGUCUGAGAGGAUGACCAGCCACACUGGAACUGAGACACGGUCCAGACUCCUACGGGAGGCAGCAGUGGGGAAUAUUGCACAAUGGGCGCAAGCCUGAUGCAGCCAUGCCGCGUGUAUGAAGAAGGCCUUCGGGUUGUAAAGUACUUUCAGCGGGGAGGAAGGGAGUAAAGUUAAUACCUUUGCUCAUUGACGUUACCCGCAGAAGAAGCACCGGCUAACUCCGUGCCAGCAGCCGCGGUAAUACGGAGGGUGCAAGCGUUAAUCGGAAUUACUGGGCGUAAAGCGCACGCAGGCGGUUUGUUAAGUCAGAUGUGAAAUCCCCGGGCUCAACCUGGGAACUGCAUCUGAUACUGGCAAGCUUGAGUCUCGUAGAGGGGGGUAGAAUUCCAGGUGUAGCGGUGAAAUGCGUAGAGAUCUGGAGGAAUACCGGUGGCGAAGGCGGCCCCCUGGACGAAGACUGACGCUCAGGUGCGAAAGCGUGGGGAGCAAACAGGAUUAGAUACCCUGGUAGUCCACGCCGUAAACGAUGUCGACUUGGAGGUUGUGCCCUUGAGGCGUGGCUUCCGGAGCUAACGCGUUAAGUCGACCGCCUGGGGAGUACGGCCGCAAGGUUAAAACUCAAAUGAAUUGACGGGGGCCCGCACAAGCGGUGGAGCAUGUGGUUUAAUUCGAUGCAACGCGAAGAACCUUACCUGGUCUUGACAUCCACGGAAGUUUUCAGAGAUGAGAAUGUGCCUUCGGGAACCGUGAGACAGGUGCUGCAUGGCUGUCGUCAGCUCGUGUUGUGAAAUGUUGGGUUAAGUCCCGCAACGAGCGCAACCCUUAUCCUUUGUUGCCAGCGGUCCGGCCGGGAACUCAAAGGAGACUGCCAGUGAUAAACUGGAGGAAGGUGGGGAUGACGUCAAGUCAUCAUGGCCCUUACGACCAGGGCUACACACGUGCUACAAUGGCGCAUACAAAGAGAAGCGACCUCGCGAGAGCAAGCGGACCUCAUAAAGUGCGUCGUAGUCCGGAUUGGAGUCUGCAACUCGACUCCAUGAAGUCGGAAUCGCUAGUAAUCGUGGAUCAGAAUGCCACGGUGAAUACGUUCCCGGGCCUUGUACACACCGCCCGUCACACCAUGGGAGUGGGUUGCAAAAGAAGUAGGUAGCUUAACCUUCGGGAGGGCGCUUACCACUUUGUGAUUCAUGACUGGGGUGAAGUCGUAACAAGGUAACCGUAGGGGAACCUGCGGUUGGAUCACCUCCUUACC